UUGGCAACAUUCACAAUCACAAGUCAUGCCUCUACAGCAAAUGAGGAUGCAACCAGAAUACUGCAUGCAACACCCUCAGGUUGCAGCAAUUGAUGAACAACCAAGAAUUUCCCCUCUAAAUAUGGCAUUGCAAUUUGCUAAUCCUCAAGAACAGCUACACCAGCAAGUAGCAUUGAGAGGUGGAUGCAUAGGUAAUGGUAGAAAUCCAAUGUAUGGUGAGAGUGGUUUUGGAGGUGGCAAGAAUGCUGCCUCAACUUCAACUGCAAGUCCAAAUGAUGCAUGUGAGGGAAGCUUGCAAGCACCUUCUCAUGGUGGAGAUGGCCAGGGAAACAACUCAGUUCUUCUGCAUAAUCAUAAUAAUAUUACUUCAUUU
rnacentral:sRNA from 1 species